AACACAAUUGGAAGCCAAACACUU
rnacentral:siRNA from 1 species